rnacentral:rRNA from 1 species
UACGUAGGGUGCGAGCGUUGUCCGGAAUUAUUGGGCGUAAAGGGCUCGUAGGCGGUUUGUCGCGUCGGGAGUGAAAACUCGGGGCUUAACCCCGAGCCUGCUUCCGAUACGGGCUGACUAGAGGUAUGCAGGGGAGAACGGAAUUCCUGGUGUAGCGGUGAAAUGCGCAGAUAUCAGGAGGAACACCGGUGGCGAAGGCGGUUCUCUGGGCAUUACCUGACGCUGAGGAGCGAAAGUGUGGGGAGCGAACAGG